UUCACAAAGCUUAUGCAACCAGCUCCAGGAGACCUUACCAUACAGAAGAAUUAAGAAAGUGAUCAGGCCAUCAAGUAUCUUCACUGACAAAAUCAAGACUUCAAGGGAAAAAUGUGGAGCUACACUCCACAAAAGAAAACCAAGACCAUUGUUUUCAGCCUUCUUGGGAGCCUGAGAGGAUUUGACCAGUCGAGGAAUGAUUGAAAUCAAUCAGUGGAAAACAGUCUAGAUUGAAGCAUCUACACUUUGGUCUUCCUUCUUCUUAAGCUCCAUAUGGUAUGUAGAUUAUAUAUGGGUACUCUGAGAUUUUGGGCUAAUAUCCACUUAUCAGUGAGUACACACCAUGUGUGUUUGUUCUGGGUUACUCCACUGACUCAGGAUCAUAUUUUCUAGUUCCCUCCAUUCGCCUGUGAAUUUCACGAAGUCAUUGUUUUUAAUAGUUCAGUACUACUCAAUUGUGUAAAUGUAUC